UAGGGCUAGUAAUUUUCAAUGCCAAAUUUGGAGAAGUUUGUAUAUUUAAUAAACCACUUGCCCUGUGAUUGAUAUUUUUCUUUCAAUGAUUCAAUCAUCUCCUUGAUGAUGAAUUCAUAUCCAUUAUAUUGUCACUGAUCAAAUAUUUUUAAUACUUUCUUACAGAGGUUCUUCUAAAUGCUGAUUUGUGCAUGCUCAUGUACCAAAAAAUUCAAAACAACAACAUGAGUGUAACAAUGCUGAAAUUAAUUCAACAUUCUAAGAUCCCCCUCAACCCUGCUGCAACUCCUUAAAAGAAAAACUCAAACUCUCAAAAUAUGCUGCAAAUUAUUUAAGUAAUAACCAAAUGCAUUAUGUAAUAUGCUACAAGUAUAGUUAUCAAUUACAUCCUUACUGACUACAUUCCUUUAAUUUUUGUACAGAACAUCAUCCAACAUGUGCAACACCAGCAAGCAACAUAGGUUAAUGUGCCUAUUAUUACAAGACUUUAACAACAUUCUCCUUUCCCCUCCUCCCGCACCCCCCACCAACUUAAGGGUUGUCAAGCUAAUAAUGUUACUUUGGAGAAUUCUGUAUUCAGUCAACCUUUUACUCUGCAAUUUAUAUUUUUCCUCAAUUUCCUCAGUCAUCUCCUUGACAAUGAAUUCCUAUCAAUUACAUUUAUCACUGACUAAAAAUUUCUAAAACUUCUUACAGAGUUUCUUGCAAAUGGUGCUUUGUCCAUAAUGCACCUGCAGCAACAACUUCAAUUAAAAACAAUAAUUAGAUGCAUAUAAUUUUAACUACAUACCAAUGCUGACUACAAAUCUUUGUAACUUUCUUACAGAAUAUUAUUGCAGAUUGUGAAGUAUUGGAGUUCAACAGAGCAAAUAAUCCAUUUAUGAUGAACAUUGUGCCCCACCAUAAUCAACCCAGAACCAGCAAACAGAAGAAGAAACAAUAGAGAAUGCAGUACUGUUUCCCGCAUUAAUUUCUGUGAGCUCACAUCAUUAAACGUUGUUUUAUUUACAAUGGUUGAGGGUGUGAAAAAUUUAAAAGAAAAAAUGUUAAAAGAGAGCGCUACACUGGUACAACAUGGCUACUUUUAUGUCCCAAAUAACCUCAAACUGCAGUGCAAGGUCGUUAUUUACAAAAAGCCUUGGAAACCUUUUUUGUUGGACACUGGUCUAUCUCAAGGUAAAUGCCGCGGACUUCGAGACAUUCGUCCGCCAAUAGAGAAAAUUUGAUUUUCUUGAAUAAAGAAGUUCAUUCUCAGCACAAGGCUACACAUGGCUUGUGGAAAACCUCUCCAGAGAGGGGGACGUGGUUAUCGACGCAGAAACCCCCAAUGACUACGCAAUGGUGGCUGCGUUGAGGAAAGGGCGAAGCGCGGUUAGGAUGGACAGUACCGCUUUGCCGUCCGAACAGACAGUAAUAGAGACUAAAAUUUAUAGUCUUGU